rnacentral:rRNA from 1 species
UCGAGAAUCUUCGGCAAUGGGGGCAACCCUGACCGAGCGACGCCGCGUGCGAGAUGAAGGCCUUCGGGUUGUAAAUCGCUGUCAGAGGGGAGGAAAUGCUAGUGGGUUCUCCCACUAGUUUGACCUAGCCUCAGAGGAAGGACGGGCUAAGUUCGUGCCAGCAGCCGCGGUAAGACGAACCGUCCAAACGUUAUUCGGAAUCACUGGGCUUAAAGGGUGCGUAGGCGGUCCGGGAAGUUGGGUGUGAAAGCCCUCGGCUCAACCGAGGAAGUGCGUCCAAAACGGCCGGGCUGGAGGGAGACAUAGGUGAGCGGAACUUAGGGUGGAGCGGUGAAAUGCGUUGAGAUCCUAAGGAACACCAGUAGCGAAAGCGGCUCACUGGGUCUCUUCUGACGCUGAUGCACGAAAGCCAGGGGAGCGAAGA